AAAGGAUUCAACGUUUUAAAAGGAGAGGUUUAAUCAACAAAUAGCUAAAGAUGAAGAGCAGGCAUUGUCCAAAACAAGAAAUUCUUGUAUGGUCAGAUGACAUUUUUCCUUUAUCUAAAGUGAAUCUCAAUUGUUGUGUCGUUUAAUAACAUCAAUGGAGUAAAAUCUGAUGGUUAAUGCACAUCAAAACUAGAUUAGUAUU
rnacentral:misc_RNA from 1 species